CAGAAGCUCAGGGUGUACAAAUACAAAAUACAUCUUUGACAAGCAGAAUAAGUACUGUUCUUCUGCUCGACAAUGGCCAAGGAUGGACAACAGAAUUCAGUGGCACAGGAAGAAAGUGGCAAGCUCCCGUCACAAACAGGAUAAAUGUUUUAUCGUUUGGAUAAGUAAUUCCUGGAUUCCUUGGACUUGUUGAAUUAUGCACCAAAACUGCCCAGCAGAGAGUACUCCAUUUUCACCAAAGAAGGGAAAUAUAGCCUUAGAUGAUAAAGAUCACCAAACAAAGCGUUCCUGUGUUCACGAAUGCCUCUUUAAUUUAUUCUGCUGUUUCCUCUGUGUGCCUUCUGUCAAGCCAAAGUAGGAGUUUGAUUUCAAGAUGGCAGAAUAUUACGCCGAUGGACAUUGCAUACAUUUUGAGCUUUCAAGUAAACCAUAUCUAGUACGCUGGUCUCGCUGCCUAAGAUAUAUAUCCACUUUGCUUGAGUGAUCUAUAAUUGUGCAAGUUUUGUUGGACGUUUAUCUGAAUCUUUGGGUCUCAAACUUCUGUUCUUGAGCAGAUACGUUCCUUCAGAAAAUAACUUGAUGUAACAGAUACAUGUAUUUGCAUAUAUAGAAGGCCACUAUCCUAGUCGAUCGAUUUAUAUCUCUAACCUAUUACCAUGCAUUGCUGCUUUGAAUUGAGACACCCACUGAACUGUGGUGAUAGAAACCUAUAAUUCAUCUAGCAAGAGAGUUGCAAGGGCACGGACGCCUACCAUUUUUGUUUCUCUUUUUCCCAUGUUCAUAAAAGAUGGGACUUGAAUCCACAGCAUCCACCCCCUUAUAGCUAUACUUGACUGCCCACCAUUUUAAUAGACCGGUGGG